UUCCGCAAUGGACGAAAGUCUGACGGAGCACGCCGCGUGAGUGAUGAAGGUUUUCGGAUCGUAAAACUCUGUUGUUAGGGAAGAACAAGUAUCGUUCGAAUAGGGCGGUACCUUGACGGUACCUAACCAGAAAGCCACGGCUAACUACGUGCCAGCAGCCGCGGUAAUACGUAGGUGGCAAGCGUUGUCCGGAAUUAUUGGGCGUAAAGCGCGCGCAGGCGGUUUCUUAAGUCUGAUGUGAAAUCUUGCGGCUCAACCGCAAGCGGCCAUUGGAAACUGGGAGACUUGAGUGCAGAAGAGGAGAGUGGAAUUCCACGUGUAGCGGUGAAAUGCGUAGAGAUGUGGAGGAACACCAGUGGCGAAGGCGACUCUCUGGUCUGUAACUGACGCUGAGGCGCGAAAGCGUGGGGAGCGAACAGGAUUANAUACCCUGGUAGUCCACGCCGUAAACGAUGAGUGCUAA
rnacentral:rRNA from 2 species